AUGGGGGGUGAAAGAGACUGCACAGACUACAAUACCCAGAAAGCCCUGGGGUCCCAUCAAAGUAUCAGAUUACGCCCCAUUAGAGGGGGAGGGGAGAGAGGAGGGACUCCCAGCUGCUACUGCUGGUUGUUAGUGGUUCUGAUUCUGACUGAUCACGUCUGUGUCCUCCAGGACCUGAAGGAGAAGAAGCUCCUGGAGGAGAAAGAAAAUGGAAAAGACGCCGCCACCAACGGAAAGGAUAAUGAUGAGAACGGUGAACCAGAAAUUGGUGAUGAAGAAGAGGAGGAUGUCGAUGAAGAGGAGGAGGAUGAUGAUGAAGACGAUGGGGACGGUGAGGAGGAAGACGAAGAUGAUGAUGACGACGUUGAAGGUGGAACAAAGCGAGCUGCAGAGGACGAGGAUGAUGAUGAUGAUGAGGAUGUGGAGACCAAGAAGCAGAAAACAUUUUAA
rnacentral:lncRNA from 1 species